UCAUGUUUACACAUGUAGAAAGCUAACAACAUGUUGAUAGCAAUACAUCCAUUACUGUAUGAUAACCAUUGUGUAGAAAGGCUAUAGCAACAUAGUUGGAAUUAAGCACUUCAAAAGAAGUCCGACUUUCACUAUUGGUGUCACUGCUGGAGGUUCCAUUAAGACUACUCUCCACAUUACUUAUUGGUGUCACUGUAAACACCCACUGGUCUUGAUCACUUGCAUGUACUGCUUCUCUUUUGAUCUCUGGCGGCCUAGCUAAUACCUGCAUGCAGAGCUCUAUAUUUUAUAUAUAUAUAUAGCCUGUCUAUUAUCUUGUGUAUAUCCCCUAAAAUUCCUCUCUCCUCUUGUCCAGGUUGAGAAUGAUGUGUCCGAGUUCUCUCUCUCUGUGUUCUAUAUAUGACAAUGGCCGCAAAGAGUUGUGUAAGGACGAUGACUACCCACUCAAGCUACGACUCAAGUUAGGACCCUCUGAAGAUAUUGCUAAACUGUUUGUCACACUGUAAAAACACCCCGGUGAAGGUCACCAAUUUGAGUGGUGAGCUUCACCAUUUUUCUACUUCACCAGUGUAAAAGACUGAAAUUGUCACUAUAGUUUUGUUUUUACAGUGCAUUGAAACCUCAGAGGUGGAGGAGAUUCUGUCAGCAGAGGCUUCACAGUGGAUCAAGUUCACUGUGCACGAACUGGAGACAUUCUGCACCAAAUUUACCGAGGAGGAAGAAAAGGAGGAAAAGAGGAUUAGAUCAAGGUUUGGUCGCUGGAGAGGAGAGGUUAAAGAUGCACUGAAUAGUUCACAAACAGACACUUAGCACUUAGAGUACAGUUGUUGUGUAAUAAUUAUUUGUGAUAAAGGGUGCACUUUGUAGCUAUUUCAUAUAGCUCUAUUGAGAAUGGUUUGCUUAAA